UACGAAGGGGGCUAGCGUUGUUCGGAAUUACUGGGCGUAAAGCGCACGUAGGCGGGUCGUUAAGUCAGGGGUGAAAUCCCGGAGCUCAACUCCGGAACUGCCUUUGAUACUGGCGAUCUAGAGAUCGAGAGAGGUGAGUGGAAUUCCGAGUGUAGAGGUGAAAUUCGUAGAUAUUCGGAAGAACACCAGUGGCGAAGGCGGCUCACUGGCUCGAUACUGACGCUGAGGUGCGAAAGCGUGGGGAGCAAAC
rnacentral:rRNA from 1 species